UACAGGGGGUGCAAACGUUGCUCGGAAUCAUUGGGCGUAAAGCGCACGUAGGCGGUUCGUUAUGUCGGAUGUGAAAGCCCUUGGCUUAACCGAGGAAGUGCAUCCGAAACUGGCGAGCUAGAGUACGAAAGAGGAUCGCGGAAUUCCCGGUGUAGAGGUGAAAUUCGUAGAUAUCGGGAGGAACACCAGUGGCGAAGGCGGCCCGCUGGGCAGUGGCUGACGCUGAGGCGCGA
rnacentral:rRNA from 1 species